rnacentral:rRNA from 1 species
GACGAACGCUGGCGGCGUGCCUAAUACAUGCAAGUUGAGCGCUGAAGGUUGGUACUUGUACCAACUGGAUGAGCAGCGAACGGGUGAGUAACGCGUGGGGAAUCUGCCUUUGAGCGGGGGACAACAUUUGGAAACGAAUGCUAAUACCGCAUAAAAACUUUAAACACAAGUUUUAAGUUUGAAAGAUGCAAUUGCAUCACUCAAAGAUGAUCCCGCGUUGUAUUAGCUAGUUGGUGAGGUAAAGGCUCACCAAGGCGAUGAUACAUAGCCGACCUGAGAGGGUGAUCGGCCCAAUUGGGACUGAGACACGGCCCAAACUCCUACGGGAGGCAGCAGGAGGGAAUCUUCGGAAAUGGACGAAAGUCUGACCGAGCAACGCCGGGGGAGUGAAGAAGGGUUUCGGAUCGUAAAACUCUGUUGGUAGAGAAGAACGUUGGUGAGAGUGGAAAGCUCAUCAAGUGACGGUAACUACACAGAAAGGGACGGCUAACUACGUG